UACAGAGGGUGCGAGCGUUGUCCGGAAUCACUGGGCGUAAAGGGCGCGUAGGUGGCUGUGUAAGUCGGGGGUGAAAUGCUGCGGCUCAACCGCAGCGCUGCCUCCGAGACUGCACGGCUUGAGCACGGUAGAGGCCGAUGGAAUUCCCGGUGUAGCGGUGGAAUGCGUAGAGAUCGGGAAGAACACCGAUAACGAAGACAGUCAACUGAACCGUUGCUGACACUGAGGCGCGACAGCGUAAAGAACAAACAAG
rnacentral:rRNA from 1 species